GAUGAACGCUGGCGGCGUGCCUAAUACAUGCAAGUCGAGCGAACGGACGAGAAGCUUGCUUCUCUGAUGUUAGCGGCGGACGGGUGAGUAACACGUGGAUAACCUACCUAUAAGACUGGGAUAACUUCGUGAAACCGUAGCUAAUACCGGAUAAUAUUUUGAACCGCAUGGUUCAAAAGUGAAAGACGGUCUUGCUGUCACUUAUAGAUGGAUCCGCGCUGCAUUAGCUAGUUGGUAAGGUAACGGCUUACCAAGGCAACGAUGCAUAGCCGACCUGAGAGGGUGAUCGGCCACACUGGAACUGAGACACGGUCCAGACUCCUACGGGAGGCAGCAGUAGGGAAUCUUCCGCAACGGGCGAAAGCCUGACGGAGCAACGCCGCGUGAGUGAUGAAGGUCUUCGGAUCGUAAAACUCUGUUAUUAGGGAAGAACAUAUGUGUAAGUAACUGUGCACAUCUUGACGGUACCUAAUCAGAAAGCCACGGCUAACUACGUG
rnacentral:rRNA from 1 species